CACUAACGUGCUGCUCUACGCCGGGCUCUUCUCAGCCGGUGAUGCUCUGCAGCAGCGACUAAGGGGCGGCCCAGCCGAUUGGCGCCAGACGCGGCGAGUGGCCACUCUGGCCCUGACUUUCCACGGAAACUUCAACUACAUGUGGCUGCGCCUGUUGGAGCGCGCGCUGCCAGGCCGCGCGCCGCGCACAGUCCUGGCCAAGGUGCUAUGCGAUCAGACUGUCGGAGGGCCAGUAGCCCUCUCUGCCUUCUACGUCGGUAUGAGCAUUCUCCAGGGAAAGGAUGACAUAUUUUUGGACCUGAGGCAGAAAUUCUGGAAUACAUAUAAGGAAUUGUAGGUUGUGGGUCGGCCAUGGAAUCACUGUUUCCAGGUGUGAGUUCUGGUGAAAAGAACCUUAUGUCCCAAAGGUGUUUCCAAGAAGGAUGAUGUUUCCCAGGAUUGUUCCCAGUA
rnacentral:lncRNA from 1 species